UACGUAGGGUGCGAGCGUUGUCCGGAAUUACUGGGCGUAAAGCGCGCGCAGGCGGUCCUUUAAGUCUGAUGUGAAAGCCCACGGCUCAACCGUGGAGGGUCAUUGGAAACUGGGGGACUUGAGUGCAGAAGAGGAAAGCGGAAUUCCACGUGUAGCGGUGAAAUGCGUAGAGAUGUGGAGGAACACCAGUGGCGAAGGCGGCUUUCUGGUCUGUAACUGACGCUGAGGCGCGAAAGCGUGGGGAGCAAACAGG
rnacentral:rRNA from 1 species